GAGCGGCGGACGGGUGAGUAACGCGUGGGUAACCUGCCUCAUACGGGGGGAUAACAGUUGGAAACGGCUGCUAAUACCGCAUAAGCGCACAGUACCGCAUGGUACGGUGUGAAAAACUCCGGUGGUAUGAGAUGGACCCGCGUCUGAUUAGGUAGUUGGUGGGGUAACGGCCUACCAAGCCGACGAUCAGUAGCCGACCUGAGAGGGUGACCGGCCACAUUGGGACUGAGACACGGCCCAA
rnacentral:rRNA from 1 species